rnacentral:tRNA from 1 species
GGGGAGAUACCAAAGUGGCCAAAUGGGGCAGACUGUAAAUCUGCUGGCGUAUGCCUUCGUAAGUUCGAAUCUUGCUCUCCCCA